CUGCAGGGGGCAGGUGGAGGGAAGGGACACCCCAUAAUCAUUCCCGGCUUUCCUUAGGAGAGCACCUCAUUCACCACAUUCAAUCUAAUGGGAGAUGACUGGAAGGAAAGGCCAUGUCCCAAAAGCCUGGACUUUGAGGCCCAGGGUGUCAGCAGAGACCAGAUUGGAAGUUCAAGCUAUGGCAAUCUGGGAGCCAAGAUCCCAGAUGGAUGGUACAGCCACUCAAUCCAGCAGGGAUGUCCUGAGAAGCCAUGGGACUUGGGCCUCAAGUUUGAGGGACUUUUGGACUUGGGAUGGAACUCUAAAGGAAUAGAGCUUUUCCUUUUUCCCAGUGACUGAGAUGGCACAAGGAAUCCUGAUUAGUGAGCAGUACCAGGAAUUGAUUGUACUGGCUUUGAAACCCCAUGGUGUUUAUAUGAGAAGAUGCCUAUAAAGAUGGAACUGAACAAGUUUCCUUUAGGUGAGACAGAAACAUCUCUGAAGGAUGAUAUCAACCAAGGACUAAGUGUCUAUUGUAUAAAUAGUUCUUUACUGAGUACUAUAAGUAAUUCACAAUCAAAUAGUCAACUAGCAUUUAUUAAGGGCUUAUUAUGUACAAAGUAUGCUGGGGAUACAAAUACAAGGAGAAAUCAAGAUAAUCUUUGCCCUUGAAGAGUUUAUAUUCUAGGAAGGCAACUCAUCAAAGGAAGCUGCAAAGGGGAGGGGAACAGAAAGAAGGUAUUCAGCCAGGGGCAUAGUAUCAAAAAUAAAUACAUAAAUAAAUAGAGUACAUCCUGGAUAAGAAUGAGCUUCUUACACAGAGAUUUGGGGAUUAGUUAUUCAAUCAGAGGGAGAAAAAGCAAGGAAAAAAGAUAUUUCUAGGUGUGGAUUCCAAGGGCUAAAGUGAGCUUCAAAGAUGGAGAGUUAGAUAGAGUUAAAAAAAAAAAAAAAAAAAAAAAGUCCAGAGUCUGAAGUAGAAUGUGAACUCAAAGUCAGUUCAGAAUAAAUCGUUGAGAUUCAAGUGCUUGGUAUUCAUUGACAAAGAAUAGAGAGCUCAGCACCCUGAAAAAAAUACUGGGCUUAAGGACAGGACACCUGAUUUCAAAACCCAAUUCAAACCCCAAUUGAGUAUAGAUAAAUUACCUUUCUGAGACUUAAUUUUCUCAUAUGUAAAAUGGAGAUAAUAAUAUUGAUAUUAUCUGCAAUUCAGAGUUGUUACAGAAGUUGUUGCAAACCUUAUAGAAACUUAAAUAAUUCUUAUAAAUCUUUCCAACUUGGAGCAAUAAUCCUAUGAAAAGCAAAAGGUACAUCAAGAUCAAUGUAAAACUAAUUAGAUAGCAGUAAUGAGCAUAGAAAUGCUGGGAAGAAGAAGAGGUAUAGUGGAAUAAGAGACUGGAAUUCAUCAAAAAAAAAAAAACUGAGGAGAAAAUAUAUUUGGAUGAUGAUUUUGAAGUUGAAGCAAUAGAGCUUUCUGCAGAGGAUAAUAGGAACACUCCCAUCUUCCCAAACCAGAAAGGCAAUGAAUAGUGGAAAACUAUUGACCAGUCUUGAUAUAACAUUAGUCAAAUGGAACUGAGUGGUGGUAUAUUGAGAAAUCAAGGUGCUAUCUCUAGCUUAUCAGACAUUAUUCUGUUCCCUUAGAUAUAUUUCAUCUGCAUUCUUAUAAAUAAGGACAAAAGCUCUCCGUAAUAUGUAAAACUCUAUUCUAAGGUGAUGAUUUAGAAUUCCUGAAAGAAAAAAGCUUCAUUGAUCUAAGGAAUUAAUAACCCUGUAUUUAUGAACUAGACUAUAAAAUUCAAAAAUCAUUAUGGCUGGAAGGAGCUCUUGAGGUUACAUAGUCACUGGAAAAUAAGUUUAGAGCUUAGGGGCUUUAGGUGGGUAUAAUAUCUUUAUUUUUACAUAUGGAAAAAGGCUAGCAAGGUCAAGUUAUUUGUCUGAGAUAGUAAUAGAGCCAGAAUAUGAACCCAGUUCUCUUCCUCCCAAUCUCUUACUACUAUGCUUUCCCUCCUAAAAUUCUUUUCAUCUCACCUCCUUGAUUUACUGUUAGGAAAAAUGAAGACAAACAAUGUAACUUCUUUAAGGUUACACAGCUAAUCAAUUAGAACUUCAUGGAAACUAGGACCCAGUCCUUACCUCCUAGACAUUCGAGUGCUUCCUCUCCUUUCUGCCUUCCUCUGCCAAAACUUCCAAUUCCUUCAGUCUCAACAAUUUAUACUUACAAUAUCCAUAGAAGUGCAGUAAAAGUACCACCUUUUAUGUGAGACUCUUCCUAAUGACUCCAACAACUAAUGCCUUUCAUCUGGAACUGCACUAAGACUCUGUGAACACAAUGCAUUUAUGCAUUUGAUGUAUACUUUCUUUUGAAGCUGUUUUCUUCCUCAGGUGAAUUUGAGCUCUUUGAGGUCAAGGAGAAUUUAAUUUUUGUAUUUGUAUCCAUAGCCUUUGGAUUUGCUUCUUACUCCCUGGCCAAAAACUUACAUCGCUUUAUCUUUCUGUAUUUCUUGUCUGUAAAAUGAAGGACCUAAAAUGUCCCCAAAGGUCACUCUGACUUGAAAUCUGGUUUGGUCUAAUGGGUAAAGUACAGGAAACAAUGCAUGGGCAAGUUGCUUCACUUAAAUGAAGCAAAAAUUAGUGUCUAUUUGCUUCUAAAAGGAUUGAGGAUGGGGCAGGGGAAGAGUGGGGAGAAACAUUUUAUAAUCAGAUUAAGGAAAAGAGAGGAUGUAUCUGAGUUUAAGUUAUAAGUUGAAACACAUCACUAUGCCAACUGAAGCUGUGGUGUAGAAAGCAGUGCUUUAGAUGAAAAGGCAGAAGAUUUGAAUUGCAAGUCAAGCUCUGAUAAUUGUGAGAGUUUUACAUAGUCAUUUUCCAUCUCUGGGCCUCAGAUCCCCAGGUUUGCAAAGUCUGUUAUCUUUAAAAUGAAAGGGUAGUAUUAGAUGAUUUAACUGACAUUCAAGAUAUUGGUCUUUAAAGCAUAAAAAUUUUACAUGUCACAGAUGUCUUUUAACUACUUUAGACAAAUUCUUAAAAUGGCUUGUUACUGGAUUAACUAAUAGACUGUUGCAUUCUGUUCAAAGAAAUGAGUAUCUCCCUGAGCAAAACUGGAAUAAUCCAGAGGAGAGGUGGUCAAAUAGUUAUUCCCUGUGGGGACACACUUUGCAAGGGAAGUUAGGAAAAAAGCUGGUGAGUCCUGUUGUCCCUGGAAACUAUGCAUAGUGACCUGGCAUCAUAGGAAUUUGCCCCUGAUGCUUUGGAGAGUUAAGGGAACUCUGCAGUUGGGAGGUAGUAUAUGAGUAUUUCUCUGAAGUGCUAAUGAAUAGCUCUCUUUGGAACUGCAAGUCUAGUUCUUAACUCUCAUUCUGUAUCAGAGGGAGCUCUGAGGACUUGAGACAAAGGCUUAAAAGGCUUAGAAGGGAAUUGUUGGCUUAAAUGAGCCUUCCUGAGGAUAAGGGUGACAAUUGUCCUUUAUAAUCCCUUUUUUCCCCUGGUUUUCUAAUCUUGGGGUCAAGAAUUGUUCUGUUUUGUCUAACCCAUAAAACAACCAACCAGUUCUGGCCGGUAAUCAACCACGAAAUCACUCCACAUAUUUUUAUUGUCUUAUAAUUUUAUCACUUCCUUGGAUUCCUUCUUAGAUCCAAAAUACCUGGACUCUAAUCUGGUUUGACUAUUGACUAUCACUGCUUGUAUUACACUAGAUAAAUUAAUGAACUUUCUUGGGUCUCAGUUUCUUGAUCUGUAAAAUGAAGGAAGAAUUCAAUUAAUAGAGAAUGAUAGAUGUGUUUAAGUGUUUGAAUUUAUACAGUUAAGAUUUGCAAAAUUCUUUACAUAUGUUAUCUAAUUUAAUCCUCACAACAAUUCUUUAAGGUAAAAGAUCGAUAUCUUCAUUUUACAGAUGAGGAAACUAACUGGCAGUGUUGUGUUGGUAAAUGUUUGACAACCAGCUCUCUAAACAUAUAUAUGCAUGACAUAUCCUUAAAUUUAAUCUGCAUUAAUAUUUUCUUCAUUACUUCUUGUCUAGAAAAUCAAUAAAAUGUUAAGUCAAUUACUGAUUUUUGACAUUUGGAUUUCUCUUGUGUGAAUUUUCGUGUUGUGAAUUUAAUAAUCAAUGGAGAAGUCAGUUCUAGCUAGCCCCAGCACAUCCCUGAAACUGAGACUGAUUUGCCCAGAGUUAUAUGGUUAGUAAUUAUUCAAGGAAAAUUUGAACUCACGGCUUUCU
rnacentral:lncRNA from 1 species